rnacentral:lncRNA from 1 species
ACUAAAUUCUCACCUAAAGUUGAUACUAAUAUUACAAUAACUCUCUUGUGCCCUAUUUUGGUGUUUUAAACUUCUUUGCUGUACAUUUAAGAAAAUCAGAAUUUCAGUAGACUCCUCGUGCAGUCUGAGGAGGCAGUUUCCUAUCUGGUUUGACUUAAGGGGCUGCAGAAGACAUUCUUAUCCCACAUAUUUCUUCUGCUGAUCAGUCAGCAACUGAAAUUCCAACUAAUGGAUUCCAUUCUUCCAGUUAAGACAUCAUCUCCAGAAAACUGUGCUAGUUGGCAUCCAGCAGUGCCCAAGUAUUAUUUAACCCACUAGAACCUGUGACUGCAUCAGCUUUAUAUCCUGGACCUCAGCCUGGAACAAAGGAGAGCUACACUUGGAUACUAAACACAAGUGGUCUGGAUAGAUUAUGCUGGGAAAAGAAGCCUGGAGCAGGCAGUACAGUGGGAGAACAAGGAAGCUUACUGCAGGAAAGAAAUCCCUCAGAGUCCUGAAGAUACAGCUUUCAGAACUUAGGUGAAGCAAGAGGACUCAAGGUGUGCAAGAAUGGACAGUACAGAAUGCUCUGCUACACUGCUCAGAUUCCCCCUUCAGGAAGGAAGGACAAAUUCACUCAACUUCUGGGAGCAUUGAUGGUUGAGCUCUCAGCCAUCAGACCUUUUUGGAAGUUGCCCUCUUCUGAAAAGAGGCACAUUGCCCAAGAUCUUUCCUCCUCCAGAGCGCAGGCUGCACCUGAAGUCUGAUUGAUGUGGGGUAUGAUGGUCUGGUCUCCUUUCCCCAUCUAAAGGACUGUUCUAACCUCAGGGCUCUCCUUGAGUUUCCUUAGUUAGUUCUUAUUACUAUGUUGCAGUCCAACUUCUUCUUUGGCCUAAUUCUACUUUCCUCCCAUUCCCCAAUUGUUGAUCCUGACAGCAAUUUCCCCCCAAAUUUCUGUAAACUAAGCAUGAUCUCAGAGUCACCUGACCUGCAACAUUAUUACAUACACUAUAGUCCGUGCACUUAAAGAUUUAGUGAAAGUAUGCUGCUGAAGCUUGCCAGAACUUCCCUUCUUCCACUGAAAAUUUGUCUGUUCAUAGAUAUACACCAUUCGUUCUCUUCUCUACUUUGGCCAAUUAUCUUAUGUUUGGGAAGGUGUUCUGCUAGAAGACAAAAUAGCAAUUCUUAGAACUAGAAAGAAAAACACAUCAAAGUCUGUCCUUUCUUAUGUCUUUUCUAUCUACAACAAAUACCCUGUGAUAAAAAGGAUGAUAGGAAAUAUAAGUAGUUUGAGUCCACCAAAUAUUUGGCUUGAAGUAUUUGGGUAUGAAAUACAAACUCACUUGACCUGGGCUCAAAUUUGCCAGCACUUCUUUUCUUUCUUCUCUUUUCAGAAACAGACUUUAUUUAUAUCAAUGUUAACAUCAAUCACAUAACCAUCAGGAAGGCUGUAACUUUGAUUUUUUUUUGUCCAAUAGUUGGGCCAAGUUUACAUUUCUCUUAUUUUAUUUAUUUAUUAUUAUUAUUUUUUUGAGAUGGAGUCUUACUCUGUCACCCAGGCUGGAGUGCAAUGGCGUCAUCUCAGCUCACUGCAACCUCCGCCUCCUGGGUUCAAACAAUUCUCCUGCCUCAGCCUCCUGAGAAGCAGGGAUUACAAGUGUGUGCCACCACGCCCGGCUAAUAUUUGUACUUUCAGUAGAGAACGGGGGUUUCACCAUGUUGCUCAGGUGGUCCCGAACUCCUGACCUUGCGAUCCACCCGCCUUGAACUCCCAAAGUGCUGGGAUUACAGGUGUGAGCCACCGUGCCUGGACCAUUUCUUUUCUCAUAUAUCAGCCUAUGCCAGGGGGGAGACUGGCUGAGGUUAAAGGCUAAUGUCAAGUACUAACUGAACAACAAAUGGAUAACCUCAACAAUGCAAUAUCCUGGUUGAAAUUGUUAGUGAAUUUUUUUAGCAGACCUGAGAUCUAUGUAUCUCCAUUCAACAAGUAAAGGUAGACUAUUUCCUUAAAUGCAAAUUCCUAUAAAAAAUAUCAGAAGUAUGUUAUGUAUUUAAAGUUAAAAAGCAUAUAACUUUUUAAAUGUUUAAUAAAAUUCACCAGUAUACACCAUCAUUUUCAUUGAGAAAAGGUUUAUAAUCAUGAAUUCUAUUUAUUUAAUAAUAUUAUUCAAUAUUUUUCUUUCAUUUUUGUUAAUUUGAUUUGUUAUGGCUUCUCAAAAAAAGCUUGUCCUUUUCAUCUAAUUUGUUCAAUUUAUUUUCAUGAAACCGGUCACAUACUUAAUCUUUCAUUGCUUCUUAUAUAACCAAAUUUCCAUCCGGUACCAUUUACUCUGAGCCAAAGAACCAGAAGCCAAAAGAACUUCCUGUAGCAUUUCCUGUAAUACAUAUCUGCUGAUUAACACUUUUCUAGGUUGACAAGUUAUAUAGUUGUCUUUCAUUUAGUUUAAAGAUGUUGUUCCAUUGUCUUCUCAUUUUCAUUGUUUCUGAUGAGAGGUCAGCCUUGUUUCUUAUUAUUGGUCCUCUGCAUUUAAUGUGUAAUAUGUCUUUUCUUCUCUUGCUUUUCAAAUGUUCUGUUUAAUUCUGAUUUUCAGCAGUUUAAUAUAAUGUCCAUUGCUUGUUUUUUGCUUAGAUUCCUGAAAUUAUGUGUGGGUUUUUAAAUAAAGUUUGAAAAUUUCUAA